rnacentral:rRNA from 1 species
CCUGGCUCAGGAUGAACGCUAGCUACAGGCUUAACACAUGCAAGUCGAGGGGCAGCAUGGUCUUAGCUUGCUAAGGCCGAUGGCGACCGGCGCACGGGUGAGUAACACGUAUCCAACCUGCCGUCUACUCUUGGACAGCCUUCUGAAAGGAAGAUUAAUACAAGAUGGCAUCAUGAGUCCGCAUGUUCACAUGAUUAAAGGUAUUCCGGUAGACGAUGGGGAUGCGUUCCAUUAGAUAGUAGGCGGGGUAACGGCCCACCUAGUCUUCGAUGGAUAGGGGUUCUGAGAGGAAGGUCCCCCACAUUGGAACUGAGACACGGUCCAAACUCCUACGGGAGGCAGCAGUGAGGAAUAUUGGUCAAUGGGCGAGAGCCUGAACCAGCCAAGUAGCGUGAAGGAUGACUGCCCUAUGGGUUGUAAACUUCUUUUAUAAAGGAAUAAAGUCGGGUAUGGAUACCCGUUUGCAUGUACUUUAUGAAUAAGGAUCGGCUAACUCCGUGCCAGCAGCCGCGGUAAUACGGAGGAUCCGAGCGUUAUCCGGAUUUAUUGGGUUUAAAGGGAGCGUAGAUGGAUGUUUAAGUCAGUUGUGAAAGUUUGCGGCUCAACCGUAAAAUUGCAGUUGAUACUGGAUAUCUUGAGUGCAGUUGAGGCAGGCGGAAUUCGUGGUGUAGCGGUGAAAUGCUUAGAUAUCACGAAGAACUCCGAUUGCGAAGGCAGCCUGCUAAGCUGCAACUGACAUUGAGGCUCGAAAGUGUGGGUAUCAAACAGGAUUAGAUACCCUGGUAGUCCACACGGUAAACGAUGAAUACUCGCUGUUUGCGAUAUACGGCAAGCGGCCAAGCGAAAGCGUUAAGUAUUCCACCUGGGGAGUACGCCGGCAACGGUGAAACUCAAAGGAAUUGACGGGGGCCCGCACAAGCGGAGGAACAUGUGGUUUAAUUCGAUGAUACGCGAGGAACCUUACCCGGGCUUAAAUUGCAGAUGAAUUACGGUGAAAGCCGUAAGCCGCAAGGCAUCUGUGAAGGUGCUGCAUGGUUGUCGUCAGCUCGUGCCGUGAGGUGUCGGCUUAAGUGUCAUAACGAGCGCAACCCUUGUUGUCAGUUACUAACAGGUUCCGCUGAGGACUCUGACAAGACUGCCAUCGUAAGAUGUGAGGAAGGUGGGGAUGACGUCAAAUCAGCACGGCCCUUACGUCCGGGGCUACACACGUGUUACAAUGGGGGGUACAGAGGGCCGCUACCACGCGAGUGGAUGCCAAUCCCCAAAACCUCUCUCAGUUCGGACUGGAGUCUGCAACCCGACUCCACGAAGCUGGAUUCGCUAGUAAUCGCGCAUCAGCCACGGCGCGGUGAAUACGUUCCCGGGCCUUGCACACAC